AGUGAACGCUGGCGGUAGGCCUAACACAUGCAAGUCGAACGGCAGCACAGGAGAGCUUGCUCUCUGGGUGGCGAGUGGCGGACGGGUGAGGAAUACAUCGGAAUCUACUCUGCCGUGGGGGAUAACGUAGGGAAACUUACGCUAAUACCGCAUACGACCUACGGGUGAAAGCAGGGGACCUUCGGGCCUUGCGCGAUUGAAUGAGCCGAUGUCGGAUUAGCUAGUUGGCGGGGUAAAGGCCCACCAAGGCGACGAUCCGUAGCUGGUCUGAGAGGAUGAUCAGCCACACUGGAACUGAGACACGGUCCAGACUCCUACGGGAGGCAGCAGUGGGGAAUAUUGAACAAUGGGCGCAAGCCUGAUCCAGCCAUACCGCGUGGGUGAAGAAGGCCUUCGGGUUGUAAAGCCCUUUUGUUGGGAAAGAAAUCCAGCUGGCUAAUACCCGGUUGGGAUGACGGUACCCAAAGAAUAAGCACCGGCUAACUUCGUGCCAGCCGCCGCAGUAA
rnacentral:rRNA from 1 species